GAUGAACGCUGGCUACAGGCUUAACACAUGCAAGUCGAGGGGAAACGACGGGGAAGCUUGCUUCCCCGGGCGUCGACCGGCGCACGGGUGAGUAACGCGUAUCCAACCUGCCUCUGACUGAGGGAUAACCCGUCGAAAGUCGGCCUAAUACCUCAUGGUAUCGUCUGCGGGCAUCCAACGACGAUUAAAGAUUUCAUCGGUCAGGGAUGGGGAUGCGUCUGAUUAGCUUGUUGGCGGGGUAACGGCCCACCAAGGCUACGAUCAGUAGGGGUUCUGAGAGGAAGGUCCCCCACAUUGGAACCGAGACACGGUCCAAACUCCUACGGGAGGCAGCAGUGAGGAAGAGUGGGCAAUGGGCGAGAGCCUGAACCAGCCAAGUAGCGUGCAGGAAGACGGCCCUAUGGGUUGUAAACUGCUUUUAUGCGGGGAUAAAGUGAGGGACGGGUCCCUAAUUGCAGGUACCGCAUGAAUAAGGACCGGCUAAUUCCGUG
rnacentral:rRNA from 1 species